GACCCCAGGUCAGGCGGGAUUACCCGCUGAGUUUAA
rnacentral:rRNA from 19 species